UUGUUUUAAUUAUUUUGUUUGCUUUUUCUUUUCUUUUGAUUUUGUUUCUUUUAAUUGCUUAUUAAUUCUUAAUUUUUCGCUUCUCUAUUGCAUUUUAUUGAAUUUUAAUAUCAUUUUAUUUGUUUGCAGUUUAUUUUAUUAUGGAGAAUUGCUUUAAAAUUUGAUGUUAAUUUUCUUCUUUUUUUUGCAGUUUCGAUUGAUCAUUGAC
rnacentral:lncRNA from 1 species